GAUGAACGCUGGCGGCGUGCCUAAUACAUGCAAGUCGAGCGAACGGACGAGAAGCUUGCUUCUCUGAUGUUAGCGGCGGACGGGUGAGUAACACGUGGAUAACCUACCUAUAAGACUGGGAUAACUUCGGGAAACCGGAGCUAAUACCGGAUAAUAUUUUGAACCGCAUGGUUCAAAAGUGAAAGACGGUCUUGCUGUCACUUAUAGAUGGAUCCGCGCUGCAUUAGCUAGUUGGUAAGGUAACGGCUUACCAAGGCAACGAUGCAUAGCCGACCUGAGAGGGUGAUCGGCCACACUGGAACUGAGACACGGUCCAGACUCCUACGGGAGGCAGCAGUAGGGAAUCUUCCGCAAUGGGCGAAAGCCUGACGGAGCAACGCCGCGUGAGUGAGGAAGGUCUUCGGAUCGUAAAACUCUGUUAUUAGGGAAGAACAUAUGUGUAAGUAACUGUGCACAUCUUGACGGUACCUAAUCAGAAAGCCACGGCUAACUACGU
rnacentral:rRNA from 1 species